rnacentral:piRNA from 2 species
UGGUUGCUGGGAUUUGAACUCAGGACCUC